AGCUGAUUGGCCAUUUAAUCCAGGGUGGAGGAAGCGUUGCACUGGGUCCUGGGAGGCCUCCUGGCCCGGCUGCUUCAUGCUGUGUUCCCAUUUCCCGGGAGGUCUGACAGUGGUCGAGAACUCCGGAACCAGAAGCCUCGCUGCACGGUGCGUUUCUGUGAUGCCUGCUGAUGCCAGCUUUUCAUUGGUCGGGUUGAGGCCCAUAUGGCCGAUAUAGUUCAGUGUUGAAAUUCUUUGGACAGCGGAGGAAGAAGCCUUCGAAGCUUCCUUCUCAACGAGGUUCUCAACCCUGCUCUGCCAAGUGGCCUACCGUGUGACCUUCUGCAACAUGCUCCGUGUUUCUAGUUGGUAAAUGAAAGGUGUUGACAUCUUUGAGUCAACCAGUUCAGGCUUCCAACUGUACUUUCAGCUGCGUUUGCAGGACUCAUAAGUCUUUUCUUAUAGAAAGAGACUAGUUAGUGCAAGUUGGAGCAGUGUAACCCAAACUUAGGACAGUCAGGCCAGAGGACACUUGGGAAACAAAUGGGACGGGAUGGAGCGGGGAGCAAAGGCUGAGGAGGCCCCAGGCCGUCCAAGCUCCCCAAGGAAGCCUUAGGCUAGCUAAGGAGGUUGAUAAGGAACACAAUUUUGAGCCUGUGUCUUGGGCUCCAAGGGUCCUGGGUGAAAUGGAUGGGCUGGCACUCCUGAAAACCUUUUGUGAGGAGUUUGAGAUACACUCUGUGAAUUAGAAUCAGGAGACCCACUCCAUCACCACUACCACCACCUUUCUUGCAGCCCCUCAUCCUUUCCCUAAAGUGCAAGGUUUGUAUCAGUAAAUUUUCCC